AGAGUUUGAUCAUGGCUCAGAUUGAACGCUGGCGGCAGGCCUUACACAUGCAAGUCGAGCGGAAACGAUGAUAGCUUGCUAUCAGGCGUCGAGCGGCGGACGGGUGAGUAACGCGUGGGAAUCUGCCCGGUAGUGGGGGACAACAGUUGGAAACGACUGCUAAUACCGCAUACGCCCUACGGGGGAAAGGAGGGGAUCUUCGGACCUUUCGCUAUUGGAUGAGCCCGCGUGAGAUUAGGUAGUUGGUGGGGUAAUGGCCUACCAAGCCUGCGAUCUCUAGCUGGUCUGAGAGGAUGAUCAGCCACACUGGAACUGAGACACGGUCCAGACUCCUACGGGAGGCAGCAGUGGGGAAUAUUGCACAAUGGGCGAAAGCCUGAUGCAGCCAUGCCGCGUGUGUGAAGAAGGCCUUAGGGUUGUAAAGCACUUUCAGUUGUGAGGAAAGGUUGUAGAUUAAUACUCUGCAGCUGUG
rnacentral:rRNA from 1 species